GACGAACGCUGGCGGCGUGCUUAACACAUGCAAGUCGAACGGAGAGGCCCGGCUUUUGUGGGGUGCUCGAGUGGCGAACGGGUGAGUAACGCGUGGGUAACCUGCCCUUGACUUUGGGAUAACUUCAGGAAACUGGGGCUAAUACCGGAUAGGAACUGCUGCUGCAUGGUGGGGGUUGGAAAGUUUCAGCGGCUGGGGUUGUAGUCGCGGCUUAUCAGCUUGUUGGUGGGGUAGUGGCUUAGCAAGGCCUUGACGGGUAGCCGGCCUGAGAGGGUGACAGGCCACAGUGGGACUGAGGUACGGCCCAGACUGAUACGGGAGGCAUGAGUGGGGAAUAUAGCGCGAUGGGCGGAAGCCUGAUGCAGCAACGCCGCGUGCGGGAUGACGGUCGUCGGGUUGUAACGCGCGUGCGCCUGUGACGAAGCCUGAGUGACGGUAAUGUGUCAAGAAGCACCGGCUAACUACGUG
rnacentral:rRNA from 1 species